rnacentral:lncRNA from 1 species
AAAAAGAAUAAUUACAAAAGAAAUAAAAUGAAGUUUGGAAGCCUAGUGCCUCCUCCUUCUACAAAAUAAAACAUAAAAAAACAAAGGAAGGAAUAAAAGAAAUUAGAAAACUCCUCUUUCUCCCCUCUCUAUUUUUUUAUUCUUUCUUUCAAACCAAAACAGAGCAUUUCUCUUUUUUUUUCUUUCUCUCUUCUUUCCCAAACCGAACACAUCCUCUGUUUUUCUUUUGAACAUGGCUUCCCCUCUUCCAAACCAAACCGGGAACCUCUCCAGCCGAGCUCUCCCCUCCCUCUCUACUUCUCCUCCCCUCUUAUAGAUCGCCCAUGGAAUGGAAGGCAGCGAUGGAUCCCGGGAGAGGAGGAGGGCGCGGUCUUCGGCCAUGUGCGGGAUCACCUCACUCGGCUGCAUCACGGCGGAAGCAGAGGCGGAGGAGGCUGGAUCGGCUCUGGAAGAGACGUGGACGGCUGGGUGGAUCGCGGAGGAGGCUGGAUCGGUGGAGCUAGCUGCGGGAUUACGCACGGAGGGAGGUAACGGACGCGGGAUCGCUGGGAGGAGGCGAUCGUCCGGGUUGCUUGGAUCACGGACGGAAGGAGCCGGAUUUUCUUCUUUGGGCCACGGAGGGAUGGGAUGCAGAAGAGGUGGUCAUCCGGGAUGCUGAAAUGGAAGAAUUUGGCUGGGAUGCUUGCAGUCGGAAGGAGUGGAUCACGGGAUGGUGGGGACCGUUGCUCUCCCUGUUUUCGCACGGGAUGCUUGCAGUCGGACGCUGGGAUGCUGGUUUCCUCCUUCACGGGUGGCUGGGAUGGAUCGCGGAAGGA